rnacentral:rRNA from 1 species
AGUGAACGCUGGCGGUAGGCCUAACACAUGCCAGUCGAACGGCAGCACAGUAAGAGCUUGCUCUUACGGGUGGCGAGUGGCGGACGGGUGAGGAAUACAUCGGACUCUACUUUUUCGUGGGGGAUAACGUAGGGAAACUUACGCUAAUACCGCAUACGACCUACGGGUGAAAGCAGGGGAUCUUCGGACCUUGCGCGAUUGAAUGAGCCGAUGUCGGAUUAGCUAGUUGGCGGGGUAAAGGCCCAUCAAGGCGACGAUCCGUAGCUGGUCUGAGAGGAUGAUCGGCCACACUGGAACUGAGACACGGUCCAGACUCCUACGGGAGGCAGCAGUGGGGAAUAUUGGACAAUGGGCGCAAGCCUGAUCCAGCCAUACCGCGUGGGUGAAGAAGGCCUUCGGGUUGUAAAGCCCUUUUGUUGGGAAAGAAAAGCAGCAGGUUAAUACCCCGCUGUUCUGACGGUACCCAAAGAAUAAGCACCGGCUAACUUCGUG